GACGUAGGAUGCAAGCGUUGUCCGGAUUUAUUGGGCGUAAAGAGUUCGUAGGUGGUAAUUCAAGUCUAAUGUGAAAUUAUAGAGCUUAACUCUAUUCCCGCAUUGGAAACUGAAUUACUAGAGCAAGGUAGGGGUCAGAAGAAUUCCUGGUGUAGCGGUGAAAUGCGUAGAUAUCAGGAGGAACACCGGUGGCGAAAGCGUCUGACUGGACCUUUGCUGACACUGAGGAACGAGAGCCAGGGGAGCGAAAGGG
rnacentral:rRNA from 1 species